rnacentral:rRNA from 1 species
AACGAACGCUGGCGGCAGGCUUAACACAUGCAAGUCGAACGAGAUCUUCGGAUCUAGUGGCAGACGGGUGAGGAACACAUGGGAACAUCCCUUUCAGUUCGGAAUAACGUUGGGAAACUAACGCUAAUACCGGAUACGUCCUUCGGGAGAAAGAUUUAUCGCUGAAAGAUUGGCCCGCGUCUGAUUAGCUAGUUGGUGAGGUAAUGGCUCACCAAGGCUACGAUCAGUAGCUGAUCUGAGAGGAUGAUCAGCCACAUUGGGACUGAGACACGGCCCAAACUCCUACGGGAGGCAGCAGUGGGAAAUAUUGGACAAUGGGCGCAAGCCUGAUCCAGCCAUGCCGCGUGAGUGAUGACGGCCUUCGGGUUGUAAAGCUCUUUUGUCCGGGAAGAUAAUGACUGUACCGGAAGAAUAAGCCCCGGCAAACUUCGUGCCAGCCGCCGCAGUAA